AACGCAAACACUAAGCAUGUUGGUCUUCCUCAAUAUCUACUAUCAACUUUGAGCUGGGCUCCUUCCACUGGCGACUGAAAGGGUCUUUACUGCUGCCACACAGUGCCACGGUUGGAAAUGUCUUCUCAGACCAGCAUGGAGGAAGACUGGGCAACUGGCCCUGCCAUGAAUAGGCCUGUCCACAGGGCCAGAUCCUGUGGCUAUCAGUCCCCUCUUUGCUUGGCCGCAGUGCUGCAGACUCCUUCACUCAUAACACGGGCUGGUUCUAGGUCCUCUAGGAUCCCCCCUCUCACCAGGCAAGGACUGGAACUAGCUGCCCUGCAGAGCUCAGGGGCCUGGUGAGCCUGGACACAGAUGAGUCCACUGACCAGGCCAUGGCUUCUUUCUUCCCUGACCCAUUGGUCUCACUUGGAAGACGGCCACUGACUUACUGCCCCGGCCAACCCUGCAGUGCCCUGUGCAAUGAACACCUGCCUCAUGGCAGACUCACCCCUGCAGUGGACUCUAGCAAUGCAUGUCCAGCCUGCCCUGAACAGCUGGACCUUCCAGAACAUACAAAAACCUGACACCCUCCUACCAAAGGAAAUCUCAGAGGGGCCAAAACCAAGAGCAUAGCACAGUCAGUUAUAGUAGCAGCUGCGAUGUAUUGAGCAUGGGACAAAGAGGGGUUCCUUAACCAUGGAGUGGUGACUCAAAGCUAGACCCUGGCCAGGAAAGUGCCCCACACACUCAGCCAGGGCCCUACAUCUGCAAGGGCUGCUGCCACUGCAUGGGAACAAAGCCAGAGCUGCGGCUUCUUCUAUCCAGUCACACCGCCAGCCCAGGAAGUAAAAUUCUAGCAGCUGAGUAUGUGCUCCCUGACAAGCCCGAAUCCCCCG
rnacentral:lncRNA from 10 species